UGUUCAAUUGGCUGAUUAGAUAUGUGUAAAAAUAAAAAAUAAAAAAUCGUGACCUUUUUCGGUCUUGGAAUAUUGAAUAUGGAAAUGUAAAUAAAUACUCAGCAUUUCUGUUUGUAUACGUAAGUCAGAGAACAUGGAAAUGUUCAGGUUCAUAUACGUGGCUGCACUUCUCGCACUCCAGUCCACUAGAUGGCGAUAAUAAAACAAACCCUAGAUUGCCUCAAAGGGGGAAGAAGAAGUUAUUCAAGAGUUAUUCAAACGCUUGUAUAAUACGGUUGUUAGCUGGGGAAAAGUCAGGUUGAUUCGAAGUUAGAGCUGUGUAGUCAUUUGUAGCUUCAGAUGUUUUCAAAAGUGAGAACAUGUCUGACUUCGGGUUUAGCCAGAUUGCCCAGUUGUGUAAAUUCAAGAGUAACAUCUGUGCUCUGCAAACAUCAGCAUCGCACCUUCAGUUCUGAGUCUGGUGUCAGGGUUCUGUAUGAUGGGCUUUGUCCAAUAUGCGUGACUGAGAUCCGUUUCCUCCAGUUUCUGCAGAGAAACCGGCCUGAGAAAGUAGAUUUCAUUGAUAUCUCUCUGCCAGGUUAUGAUGGAACAAAAUACAAGGAUAUCACCUAUGAGAUGGCCAUGAAGGAAAUGCACGUGAUUGAUAAGAAAGACAAGGUUCACAGCGGAGUCCCAGCAUUUGCAGUCAUGUAUAGCGCCGUAGGCCUCGGCUGGUUGGGUCGCUUUAUGAUGUGGUCACCUGUGAGACCAUUUAUGGACAAAUCCUAUGACAUCUUUGCCAGGAACCGCCUAAAGUGGACCGGACGUGGAGAGGAGUGCACCACAGGACGCUGUGAAAAGAAAAUACCCUGAAGCUCCAGCACUGUUUUAUAAGUACUGUAAAUACAUGAAGAACUGCAUAAAUAUCAUGCGGAUAAUCCUGUAAAGUUAACAUGAAAAAAAUGGUUAUGUUGGUUAUGUAGUUCACCUAAAGUAAUUUAAAAUAACAACAAUGAUGCAGAGAUAAAAUUACGACUGUAAAAUAGAGCUGCAAGAUGAAUAUAUUCAAAGAAAUAUUUCUGAAUGUACAGGUUUCAUUAAAUACAGUUUAAAAAUCUGUUUUUGACCGAUAACAGCAUUUUGUCAUGAUUUUUAUUCUUCCUCUGGUGUGUAUUCAUAUCAUCAGAUUGGUCCAGUAUUCCUUCUAACAAAAUCACUGGGGAGGUGGCAGUCAGACCAAAGAUAGUGGCUAUGGAAACAGAUUUAAAAAAAGAAAAAAGCUUUGCUGUACAUAAAAAGAAUCAUUCUUGACAGAAAGGAUUGUGUGUUCUGUAAAGGACUGUCAUGUAUUCAUCAUAUACACGGUGCAGAGAUAAGACUCAAAGUCACUGAAGCGGAAUAUGAUCAAUUUCCUGUCAUGCACAGCGGUUCAUUCAAAGCCGAUUAAGAACCAAACUGUCAAGAAUCUGCCACUAGAUGUCAUUGUAAGUCUGUGAGAGUGAAAUUGUUCUUUAGGAAUUGUGCUGAAUUUUAGCAAACUCUGAUCACAUCAUAGACAGAAGAACAAAUACAAGCAGAAAUGUCAAAUUUAGUGGAUUUGUUUAACAAAAAAAUCAAAUAAAACUAUUGAAGCUCGCUGAUUAUUUAUUUAUUUUUUGUGACUAUUGUUUCGAAAGUAAUGUCAGUGUCUGUGUGCUGGGGAGAUAACACGUGAGCCCCUCCUCUUAUGUAGAUGUUUCACCAAAAAUAAACAGGCGUGUAGAA
ensembl:lncRNA